AGGGCACAAAAGAAAUAAGAAUAGAGUUGAGAAAACGUCCCUGAUUAUCGGCAUUGAGAAACUGAAGCAUCGUGCGAGGUGGUGAAUAGGGGGAUUUACGGUCUGUGCAGAGCAGAGAGUUGCCACGUUGGGAGAAGUGCAGCUCGGAAAAGGGCGGCGCUGGCAAAAUGCAGCGGCUGAAAACAAGACAUGCUCACCAAGCAUCAAAGUAUCCGCAAAGCAACCGAAGCCUAAGAAAAACACAAAACAAACAACGAAAAACAAGAAAAGAACAAGAAAAACAAAAACAAACCAACGGUGGGUUGCCUCCCACUAAGCGCUAGAGUUAGAGUCGCCAGCCCGACUUCAGAUCUGACCCUUAGUGAGGAUCAUGCAGAGUGUGAGACUCCACCACCAUCGGAGUACUCAACUGCCCAUAAUCGGGUUUCAUGCGAUGACCCUCUCCUCUGAAAUUC
rnacentral:lncRNA from 1 species